UCAGAAUGAACGCUGGCGGCAUGCCUAACACAUGCAAGUCGAACGAAUGCCCUUCGGGGUGUUAGUGGCGCACGGGUGCGUAACGCGUGGGAAUCUGCCCUUGGGUUCGGAAUAACAGUUGGAAACGACUGMUAAUACCGGAUGAUGACGUAAGUCCAAAGAUUUAUCGCCCAGGGAUGAGCCCGCGUAGGAUUAGGUAGUUGGUGUGGUAAAGGCGCACCAAGCCGACGAUCCUUAGCUGGUMUGAGAGGAUGAUCAGCCACACUGGGACUGAGACACGGCCCAGACUCSUACGGGAGGCAGCAGUGGGGAAUAUUGGACAAUGGGCGAAAGCCUGAUCCAGCAAUGCCGCGUGAGUGAUGAAGGCCUUAGGGUUGUAAAGCUCUUUUACCCGGGAUGAUAAUGACAG
rnacentral:rRNA from 1 species